rnacentral:rRNA from 1 species
UCCCAGACUCCUACGGGAGGCAGCAGUGAGGAAUAUUGGUCAAUGGGAGAGAUCCUGAACCAGCCAAGCCGCGUGAGGGAAGACGGCCCUAUGGGUUGUAAACCUCUUUUGUCGGAGAACAAAACCCGGGACGUGUCCCGGACUGCGUGUAUCCGAAGAAAAAGCAUCGGCUAACUCCGUGCCAGCAGCCGCGGUAAUACGUAGGGGGCGAGCGUUAUCCGGAAUUACUGGGUGUAAAGGGAGCGUAGACGGCGAGGUAAGCCUGAAGUGGAAGCCCGCGGCCCAACCGCGGAACUGCUUUGGGAACUGUUUUGCUGGAGUAUGGGAGGGGUAAGCGGAAUUCCUGGUGUAGCGGUGAAAUGCGUAGAUAUCAGGAGGAACACCGGUGGCGAAGGCGGCUUACUGGACCAUAACUGACGUUGAGGCUCGAAAGCGUGGGGAGCGAACAGGAUUAGAUACCCUAGUA